AACGAACGCUGGCGGCAUGCCUAACACAUGCAAGUCGAACGAACCCUUCGGGGUUAGUGGCGCACGGGUGCGUAACGCGUGGGAACCUGCCUUUAGGUUCGGAAUAACUCAGAGAAAUUUGAGCUAAUACCGGAUAAUGUCUUCGGACCAAAGAUUUAUCGCCUUUAGAUGGGCCCGCGUUAGAUUAGAUAGUUGGUGGGGUAAUGGCCUACCAAGUCGACGAUCUAUAGCUGGUCUGAGAGGAUGAUCAGCCACACUGGGACUGAGACACGGCCCAGACUCCUACGGGAGGCAGCAGUGGGGAAUAUUGGACGAUGGGCGAAAGCCUGAUCCAGCAAUGCCGCGUGAGUGAUGAAGGCCUUAGGGUUGUAAAGCUCUUUUACCAGGGAUGAUAAUGACAGUACCUGGAGAAUAAGCUCCGGCUAACUCCGUGCCAGCAGCCGCGGUAAUACGGAGGAGCUAGCGUUGUUCGGAAUUACUGGGCGUAAAGCGCGCGU
rnacentral:rRNA from 1 species